rnacentral:rRNA from 1 species
UAGGGAAUCUUCGGCAACGGACGGAAGUCUGACCGAGCAACGCCGCGUGAGUGAAGAAGGUUUUCGGAUCGUAAAGCUCUGUUGUUAGAGAAGAACGUUGGUAGGAGUGGAAAAUCUACCAAGUGACGGUAACUAACCAGAAAGGGACGGCUAACUACGUGCCAGCAGCCGCGGUAAUACGUAGGUCCCGAGCGUUGUCCGGAUUUAUUGGGCGUAAAGCGAGCGCAGGCGGUUCUUUAAGUCUGAAGUUAAAGGCAGUGGCUUAACCAUUGUACGCUUUGGAAACUGGAGGACUUGAGUGCAGAAGGGGAGAGUGGAAUUCCAUGUGUAGCGGUGAAAUGCGUAGAUAUAUGGAGGAACACCGGUGGCGAAAGCGGCUCUCUGGUCUGUAACUGACGAUGAGGCUCGAAAGCGUGGGUAGCAAACAGG